rnacentral:rRNA from 1 species
UGGGGAAUAUUGCGCAAUGGGCGAAAGCCUGACGCAGCGACGCCGCGUGAGGGAUGAAGGUCUUCGGAUCGUAAACCUCUGUCAGGAGGGAAGAACAAGCCGGGUGCUAAUCAGCCUGGCCCUGACGGUACCUCCAAAGGAAGCACCGGCUAACUCCGUGCCAGCAGCCGCGGUAAUACGGAGGGUGCAAGCGUUAAUCGGAAUUACUGGGCGUAAAGCGCUCGUAGGCUGUUUUGUAAGUCAGGGGUGAAAGCCCGCGGCUCAACCGCGGAAUUGCCUUUGAUACUGCGAUACUUGAGUCCGAGAGAGGAUGGCGGAAUUCCAGGUGUAGGAGUGAAAUCCGUAGAUAUCUGGAGGAACAUCAGUGGCGAAGGCGGCCAUCUGGAUCGGUACUGACGCUGAGGAGCGAAAGCGUGGGGAGCAAACA